rnacentral:tRNA from 1 species
AGGGGCAUAACUCAGUUGGUAGAGUGCUUGCCUUGCAGCACAAGGCACUGGGUUCAAACCCCAGCACCACUA